CCCUCAGAUAUUGUUCCAGAGAAGCUGCACCUCUUCCUGUGAGCAGAUAUAAAGAAACGACCGCAUGUGAGAUGUUCAGAGAGACGGAAGAGAGACGAUGCUCUACCUAAACUAUUUCCCAACAUAAUAAAGUAUACGUAUAUCUAUAAAGUAUAUAUCUACCUCUACGGGACAUGGAUCACCUGCUUGCUGCUGCUGCUGUGGGGCUCAGGACUCCAGGCUGCAGGAGAACUCUCAACAGGUAAGCUGCCAGUGUUAUGACCCCCCCCCCCCCCCAUCAUGCCUCAUGUCAUUUAAAGGCUGUUCCAAUAACAGCUUGUCACCAUGUUCAUGACCAAAAGAGAACCAGGAUAUUCUUGAUGUGCACACAACAAACCAUCAGCAGCUUUUCCUCACUACUGAUUCUAAAGAAUGAUCCAUGAACAAGAGCCUCUCUCAGUGUGGCAGUCUCUGAAGUUUGACUUUAAUGUCUGCACCACAACACCAAGUCAAACUCCUCGUACGUGUCGACCCACCUGGUGAUAAACCUGGUUCUGGUUCUGAUCUCUUUCCACCACUGGUUCAGAAAGACCUCCAGUUUGACCAGAAUAAUGAUGUACUCAUUUCUCUGGAGGUUUCCAGCUGUAACUCCAUCCUUCCAUCACUAUCAGUCAUUGCUUCAUCAUUCAGGGGUUCAUGAUACAACAUCUUUAUUUUAGUAAUCAUUAUUAAAUAUUACAUCUGCUGCAAGAAACUAAAGUACAUGACUCUGUUGUUUCUGUUCAGGGCGUUUCAGACUGGUGGGAGGAGAGAGUCGCUGUGCAGGAGACCUGGAGGUGAACCAUGAGGGAGAAUGGAGACCAGUGUGGGGCUAUGACUCUCUCUGGACCCUGAAGAGAGCAGGUGUUUUCUGCAGAGAGCUCGACUGUGGCUCUGCUGUUUUUGUGGGAGAGAGAGAGGAGUCCUCAAAGAGACCUAUGUGGAGGAUCAGAUCUCACUGUCUUCAGUCUGGAUCUGCUCUGAGGGAGUGUGUAUCUUCAGGUUACUCUUCCUCCACCGUGACUCUCACCUGCUCAGGAGUCCCCGGGGCCAACCAGUCUGAAAGGACUCCUUCUUCAGCUCCACCUCUCUCUGAGCCUCUGGGUUCCACCAGCAGGUUCUUUGGGUUCCACCAUAACAGCACCAAGACCUCCUGAACACAGCUCUGAUCAGCUCAGCCGGGCUCUUCAGUAUCUCCACACCACAUGGAGUCCUUCACCCUGAGGGGCUCCUCACAUGGAGACAGUCCAGACCCUAUCACUUUCACUUUUUAGAAACAUCUCUAAACAUCUUUGUAUUCUAGGUUACAGAUUCUCUUAGAAAAAUAACAAGGAGUUACAUCUGCAGAGGAGGAUGUUUUAUUGUUUGAAGACACGGGGAAAGGGUUCACUAAUGGAGACCAGUUGGUAGAGGGU